CACGUAGGGGGCGAGCGUUGUCCGGAUUUAUUGGGCGUAAAGAGCUCGUAGGCGGUUCGGCAGGUCGGGUGUGAAAUUUCGAGGCUCAACCUCGAAACGCCACUCGAUACUGCUGUGACUGGAGUCCGGUAGAGGAGUGCGGAAUUCCUGGUGUAGCGGUGAAAUGCGCAGAUAUCAGGAGGAACACCAACGGCGAAGGCAGCACUCUGGGCCGGUACUGACGCUGAGGAGCGAAAGCGUGGGGAGCAAACAGG
rnacentral:rRNA from 1 species